rnacentral:rRNA from 1 species
AGAGUUUGAUUAUGGUCAGGAUGAACGCUGGCGGCGUGCCUAAUACAUGCAAGUCGAACGAAGAUGUUCUUGAGUUUACUCGAGAGCUCUUAGUGGCGAACGGGUGAGUAACGCGUUGGUGACCCGCCCUAAAGAAGGGAACAACCUCGGGAAACUGAGAUUAAUACCCUAUGUGCUUCUUAAGAUUAGAUGCUUUUGAAGUAAAGGUUCUGUGGACGAAAGGACACAGUGCCGCUUUAGGAGGGGCCUGCGUACCAUCAGCUAGUUGGUAGGGUAAUGGCCUACCAAGGCGAUGACGGUUAGGGGACCUGAGAGGGUGACCCCCCACACUAGCACUGAAACACGGGCUAGACACCUACGGGUGGCAGCAGUAGGGAAUCUUGCACAAUCGACGAAAGUCUGAUGCAGCAACGCCGCGUGUGCGAUGAAGGCCUUCGGGUUGUAAAGCACUUUUCUGAGGGAAGAGAAAGGACGGUACCUCAGGAAUAAGUCUCGGCUAACUACGUGCCAGCAGCCGCGGUAAUACGUAGGAGGCGAGCGUUAUCCGGAUUUAUUGGGCGUAAAGCGCGUGCAGGUGGUUUGGUAAGUUGGGUAUGAAAUCUUCUGGCUUAACUAGGAGAGGUUGCUCAAAACUGCCAGACUAGAGGACGAUAGAGGAAGGUGGAAUUCCCGGUGUAGUAGUGAAAUGCGUAGAUAUCGGGAGGAACACCAGUGGCGAAGGCGGCCUUCUGGGUCGUUCCUGACACUAAGACGCGAAAGCAUGGGUAGCGAACGGGAUUAGAAACCCC